rnacentral:rRNA from 1 species
UGGGGAAUAUUGCACAAUGGGCGCAAGCCUGAUGCAGCCAUGCCGCGUGUAUGAAGAAGGCCUUCGGGUUGUAAAGUACUUUCAGCGGGGAGGAAGGGAGUAAAGUUAAUACCUUUGCUCAUUGACGUUACCCGCAGAAGAAGCACCGGCUAACUCCGUGCCAGCAGCCGCGGUAAUACGGAGGUUGCAAGCGUUAAUCGGAAUUACUGGGCGUAAAGCGCACGCAGGCGGUCUGUCAAGUCGGAUGUGAAAUCCCCGGGCUCAACCUGGGAACUGCAUUCGAAACUGGCAGGCUAGAGUCUUGUAGAGGGGGGUAGAAUUCCAGGUGUAGCGGUGAAAUGCGUAGAGAUCUGGAGGAAUACCGGUGGCGAAGGCGGCCCCCUGGACAAAGACUGACGCUCAGGUGCGAAAGCGUGGGGAGCAAACAGG